UGGGGAAUAUUGGACAAUGGGCGAAAGCCUGAUCCAGCAAUGCCGCGUGAGUGAUGAAGGCCUUAGGGUUGUAAAGCUCUUUUACCAGGGAUGAUAAUGACAGUACCUGGAGAAUAAGCUCCGGCUAACUCCGUGCCAGCAGCCGCGGUAAUACGGAGGGAGCUAGCGUUGUUCGGAUUUACUGGGCGUAAAGGGCGCGUAGGCGGCAAUUCAAGUCAUCUGUGAAAUCUCCGGGCUUAACUCGGAACGGUCAGAUGAUACUGCUUUGCUAGAGUGCAGAAGGGGCAAUCGGAAUUCUUGGUGUAGCGGUGAAAUGCGUAGAUAUCAAGAGGAACACCUGAGGUGAAGACGGGUUGCUGGGCUGACACUGACGCUGAGGCGCGAAAGCCAGGGGAGCAAACGGGAUUAGAUACCCUCGUAGUCCCUGAGCGGGCUGGCAAGGCGCAU
rnacentral:rRNA from 1 species